AGACAAGGAUAGGCUGCUGAACAAGAUUCAUCAAGCGUCAGAGCCCAAUGGAGCUGAAGCUGCAUCUGCACAUCACCAACUAGCAUUGAGGGUGCACCUCUUGUUUCCCAUUGUCAUCUACUGGAGCUAUUCUUCCCUUUGGAGUAGAAAUAUGAAAUGUCAUUACAGAAGUGUUUUUAACUAAGAAAGACUCUGAUGAAGAGCAAAGGAAAACAUCACAACAUCUCCUUAUUAAUGAAACACUUUCUUAUUGCUCAUUCAAUAAAUAUAUUUUGAUCAACUUUAUAUCUAAACCUGGAAGGAACAAGCAACACUAUGAGAAUAAAGCCCUUGAUCCUAGAGUUGCGAAGAACUGACUACUGCCAAUAACCUGAGUGAGACUGAAAGUAAGUCCAUCCCCAGUAGAUAAACCAAUGCUUGAAUCCUGUUCACAAAAACUAUGAAAAUAAAUAUGU
rnacentral:lncRNA from 1 species